rnacentral:rRNA from 1 species
UGGCGGACGGGUGAGGAAUACAUCGGAAUCUACUCUGUCGUGGGGGAUAACGUAGGGAAACUUACGCUAAUACCGCAUACGACCUACGGGUGAAAGCAGGGGAUCUUCGGACCUUGCGCGAUUGAAUGAGCCGAUGUCGGAUUAGCUAGUUGGCGGGGUAAAGGCCCACCAAGGCGACGAUCCGUAGCUGGUCUGAGAGGAUGAUCAGUCACACUGGAACUGAGACACGGUCCAGACUCCUACGGGAGGCAGCAGCU